rnacentral:tRNA from 1 species
GCGGGCUUGGCGAAAUGGUAGACGCAAGCGACUUAAAAUCGCUCGAGCAUGUCUCGUGCGGGUUCGAGUCCCGCAGCCCGCACCA